rnacentral:tRNA from 1 species
GGGGUUGUGGCUCAGUGGUACAGCGUUCGUCUAGCACACAUGAGGCACUGAGUUUGAUCCUCAGCACCACA